UAUAAAUUUUAAAUUUUAAAUUUUAAAUUUUUAAAAUUUAUAAUUUUAAAUAUUAAAAUUAAUAUUUAUUUUUUAAAAUUAAAAAAUUGAAAUGUGAAAUUUAAAAUUAUUAUUUUUAAUUAUUUAAAUUUUAAAUUUGAUAUUUUAUAUUUGUAACUUUAAGUUUUUAAAUUUGGGAUUUAAAAAUAUAUUUUUUAAUUUUGAGUUUUGAAUUUUAAAUUUUAAAUUAUUAUUUUAAAUUAUUUAAAAUAUAAAUUUGACAUUCUAUAUUUGUAACUUUAAAUUUUUAAAUUUAAAAUUUAAAAAUAUUGAUUUUAAUUUUAAAUUUUAAAUUUUAAAUUAUAAUUUUUAAUUAUUUAAAUUUUAAAUAUAAAUUCAAAUAUAAUAAUUAGGACAAUAUUAUUAUUUUCUAUUUAUAAUUAUUCACUAUUUUUUUUAUUUCACUUACUUUAAUCAAACACUAUUUUGCGUAUAUGUGGACUAAACUUAAUUCUCAAUCAAACACAAAAUUACUAACCCACUUUAAUCUUGAACUUAAUCUUAUCCUUGGAAUAAUUAGUUCUUACUUAACUCCGAACCAAACGAAGCUCUAAAGUUUUCCAAACAUUUCUCACUGUUCCUAGCCUCAAACAAGAAAUUUAAUUCUUGACAACCAUGACAGCAACUGAUCAAAAUUAUUUCCAUAGUGCCCCAUGGUACUUGAUAAGAUCAUGAGCUGCAUUUUUCAGAGAUAAUAGAACAGACAACUAGUUGAUGAAAAAUGGGUAGGAAAAUAGAGAUGAAUAAUAUAUCCAUACAACAAAAUUUUUAAAAACUGAGUUCACAAAAAAAACAGUUUCUAUUGUAAAUAACUCAAAAUCGAUCCAUGCAUGACUGCAACAAGGCAAAUGGGCUUGUUCAUCAUUUUAAAAAUGCCCAUGGCAUGCCUAUGACUCUUUGAAAUAGGAAGGAAGUUCAUGGCAAUGCUCACCACAAAUCCAAAUGGAUGAGGGAAGAGAAGUGCUUGAGAUCUGAAGCGAAAAGUAAACUACAUGCUUGCAUAUUUUAAUAGAAAUAUAGCAUAUUGCAUAAAUAAGUACAUAAGCAACAAAUACAAAUCUUAGCUUAUCGUAAAAGAGGUAUGUCUAUGAUAAACUGAAAUCAACGAAUAAAUCAAAGCAGAAAUGACAUACAUAUUCUAUACAUGCUAGACAUAUGAAAAGGUCUUGCAAGAAGCUAAUUCCAAUCUGUGCAGCACAACAUCUUCCUGCCACAAUGAGCAAAAUGAUCCAUACCGUCCCCAAUAAAAGGCAAUAAAGAAAACAUAACAGCUACCAUUGGUGUGGUUUUAUUCCUGACUAUCACAAUUGAAAGGAAAAGGAAUACAUCUAAGAAAAUGGAUGUCAUGCCUUAAAGGAGAGUUAAAAGGCGCAUUUGGCAUUCUACUUGAGUCAUUUGGCUAAGACGGGUGGAAAGAUUGGCACAUGCCACACCAUGAUACAAGAAUCAUACAGAAAACUGCCUUUUUCAGAAUAUAAUAGACACACCUUUGGUGCGCUUUCACAAACUUCAUCAACCAACCACCCGCACAUUAAAACACAAUUUUCAUUUCCAGGGAAGCUUUAUAAAAGAAUAUAAAGAUAUACAUAUAAGCAAAGAUUUAAGUGCCGUAGUACGAGAUCGUAUCGAAAACUUGCUGACAUAGUAUAGCACAACGUGUGCCGGAGGAGUAAAAUCAAUUAUCUCAUAGGUGAAAUAUCAAAAGCCUAAUGGUUAAUGAUCGGAGAUUGGCCUAAUCCGACCCAUUAAGGCAAAAUGAUCCAAUAACAGCUCACAAAUCUAAGAUGGUACUGCUUUGUAAAUAAAACGGGCUUUAACGGGCCGACUCAGGGCCCACUACUGUUCUUUUUACACAUUGUUUUCUCUCCGUGCCAUUUUUACUGGGCUUUCCAUUUAUGGUAAAGUCGAAAUUUGCAACUCUCGUGAAGUGCCCAGAAUGGAAAGUUUCAGUUUCUCACUACUGGGGCCGGCAAUAUAUACUGGUCACAAAUUUUUUUUCCCUUCUCUUUCUUUUUUUUUUUUUUUUUUUUCUAUUCCCGAGUAAUAAUGAAAAGAGAUAAUUGCUUAAUUUUGAGGUAGCAAUAUCAAAAUGGGAAGAUUCACCACAAAUUUUCUUUUCUUUUUUUUUCUUUUUAAUUAGAUUGAGUAAACUUUUAAAAUUUUGAUAUUAUAAUGUUACUCUAAUAGUGUAUUUAAAUUUUAUCUAAAUAGCUUUUUUGAUGUAAUUUAAUAACAUUUCUUUGUGCCUUUUAUUAAUUGGGAGUUGAGACAUUAGAAAGUGCUGAACUCAUCAAGGAUGAAAUUUACUUAAAUACAAUGAAAAAAGAAGGUUCUUGCAAAUGUAAUGGUAUUACUUGCUAUUUAGUUGUAAUUCCCUUAAUAAUUCAACUUAAUCACAUGAACUCGUAAAUAAAUUUAUCAAAUUGAGACUCGAAUCAUACACUAACUUGAAUAACUGAACCAAAUAACUGAACCAAAUGGACCCUGAUACUUGAUUGCACCACUAAGAAAACAAAUGCAAAGCAAAAUUACAACUAUUUCAUCUUUGGUGAUGCGGAGCAAAACAUGACAGAAAAAACAAACAUUACCAAACAGCGCAAAUUAAUGGCACAGGCAGAACACAACGUCUACUUUGAUACCCUUUAACAUACGUUUAUCAAAUAAGUAACUGCUAUUAAAAAAAGGGCCUUGGAAGUAUAUAUAGAAGAAUCAAUAGUGAAGACGAUAUAUUCAAACUGUCACAAGUUCGAGUGACCUUAAUUGAUCAACGAGAUCAAGUAGAACCAACAUGCAUAGAAAGCAGCAUUAAUCCCACUACGAGUGAUAAUGAUAUAGAUAUCCACAUGCUCCGAGGCAUCGCUCAGAAUUUCUUGGAACUCAUCCGGGAUGAAAUUUAGUUAAAUACAAUGAAAAGAGAAGGUUCUUGCAUAUAAUUAAGAUCCUGGAAUGCAUAGCUAUUUCUUUGUUCUAUUCUUAGGAUAGGAUCCAAUCAUCCAACUGACAGAAGAACCACGAAAAAAAAUAUGCAAACAAAUAUAUUUCAGCUUUAUUCCUACAGGCUAGCAGACACGCUGCAGCUUAGCAUCUGAAAAGAGUCUUCUGAUCAUUUUUUUUCAUAACUAAAAUGUGGCCAUGUGCAACAGCACAAUAACACGAGUGAGUGCAAAUUCAUGUGAGAUACGAAUAGCCAAGACUAAGUGACCAAAAAAAAAAAAAAAAAAAUCACCACAAAACUGCCUCUUAUUCACAAAUCAGCCCAUAGGUCACAUAAUGCCAAUACAGUUGUCUAGUAACAUAUAAGAGUACAUUCCAAAGACACAACAAGCCUACA
rnacentral:lncRNA from 1 species